rnacentral:rRNA from 1 species
UACGGAGGGGGCUAGCGUUGUUCGGAAUUACUGGGCGCAAAGCGCACGUAGGCGGCUUUGUAAGUUAGAGGUGAAAGCCCGGGGCUCAACUCCGGAAUUGCCUUUAAGACUGCAUCGCUAGAAUUGUGGAGAGGUAAGUGGAAUUCCGAGUGUAGAGGUGAAAUUCGUAGAUAUUCGGAAGAACACCAGUGGCGAAGGCGACUUACUGGACACAUAUUGACGCUGAGGUGCGAAAGCGUGGGUAGCAAACAGG